GACGAACGCUGGCGGCGUGCUUAACACAUGCAAGUCGAACGGAAAGGCCCUGCUUUUGUGGGGUGCUCGAGUGGCGAACGGGUGAGUAACACGUGAGUAACCUGCCCUUGACUUUGGGAUAACUUCAGGAAACUGGGGCUAAUACCGGAUAGGAGCUCCUGCUGCAUGGUGGGGGUUGGAAAGUUUCGGCGGUUGGGGAUGGACUCGCGGCUUAUCAGCUUGUUGGUGGGGUAGUGGCUUACCAAGGCUUUGACGGGUAGCCGGCCUGAGAGGGUGACCAGCCACAUUGGGACUGAGAUACGGCCCAGACUCCUACGGGAGGCAGCAGUGGGGAAUAUUGCACAAUGGGCGGAAGCCUGAUGCAGCAACGCCGCGUGCGGGAUGACGGCCUUCGGGUUGUAACCGCUUUCGCCUGUGACGAAGCGUGAGUGACGGUAAUGGGUAAAGAAGCACCGGCUAACUACGUG
rnacentral:rRNA from 1 species